AUUGAACGCUGGCGGCAGGCUUAACCCGUGCAAGUCGAGCGAGCGGCGGACGGGUGAGGAAUGUCUGGGAAACUGCCUGAUGGAGGGGGAUAACUACUGGAAACGGUAGCUAAUACCGCAUCCCAUCGGAAGUGCCCAGAUGGGAUUAGCUAGUAGGUGGGGUAAAGGCUCCCCUAGGCGACGAGCCCUAGCUCGUCUGAGAGGAUGACCAGCCACACGGGAACUGAGACACGGUCCAGACUCCUACGGGAGGCAGCAGUGGGGAAUAUUGCACAAGGGUCGCAAGCCUGAUGCAGCCAUGCGGCGUGGAUGAAGAAGGCCUUCGGGGUGUAAAGUACUUUCAGCGGGGAGGCGUUACCCGCAGAAGAAGCACAGGCUAACUCCGUGCCAGCCGCCGCGGUAAUAC
rnacentral:rRNA from 1 species